UACGAAGGUCCCAAGCGUUAUCCGGAUUUAUUGGGUUUAAAGGGUGCGUAGGCGGGCUAUUAAGUCAGUGGUGAAAGCCCCAAGCUUAACUUGGGAACUGCCAUUGAUACUGAUGGUCUUGAGUACAUUUGAGGUGGGCGGAAUGUGUCAUGUAGCGGUGAAAUGCUUAGAUAUGACACAGAACACCGAUUGCGAAGGCAGCUAACUACGCGAAUAUUGACGCUGAGGCACGAAAGCGUGGGGAUCAAACAGG
rnacentral:rRNA from 1 species